rfam:Oryza glaberrima chromosome 12 Oglab12_0132_4, whole genome shotgun sequence.
AACAAGUGCAGCCAUAAUUUUUCGUGUCCAACUUUGAUCGUCUGUUUUAUUUGAAAUUCUUUUAUAAUUAGCAUUUUUGUUGUUAUGAGAUGAUAAAACAUGAAUAGUACUUUACUCGUGACUUAUGUUUUUAAAUUUUUUCAAAAAUUUUUUAAAUAAGACGAACGGUCAAAGUUGGGCGUGGAAAACCAUGGCUGCACUUAUU